CGUUCAUUUAUUGGUGGGGAUAGGGCUUGUGGUCCUGGUCCCUAUAAUGUACAGAAGUAGAGGGAGAGGGCUGUGGCCCCCCUUAAAUCAUGUCUUAGCUACCACUGGUUUCCCGUCUGCCAGUUCUACCCUCAAGCACCAGAACAUAA
ensembl:snoRNA